UAGUGUGGCCUGAUUUGUCAGAUCUCAAGACGCUAAGCAGGGCUGGGCCUGGUUAGUACUUGGAUGGGAGACCACUGAGAAUUCUAGGUGCCACAGAGG
rnacentral:rRNA from 1 species